UACGUAGGCAGCGAGCGUUGUUCGGAGUUACUGGGCGUAAAGCGCGCGUAGGCGGCUUUGCAAGUCGGGUGUGAAAGCCCUGGGCUCAACCCAGGAAGUGCACUCGAAACUGGCGGGCUAGAGUAUCGGAGAGGUUGGUGGAAUUCUCGGUGUAGAGGUGAAAUUCGUAGAUAUCGAGAGGAACACCGGUGGCGAAGGCGGCCAACUGGACGAAUACUGACGCUGAGACACGAAAGCGUGGGGAGCAAACAGG
rnacentral:rRNA from 1 species